CCAAAACACUUCCUCACCCUGUUCAGAGUCAUGAUAAUACAUUCAAAAUUGUGUUAAAAAUCUAAGCUUGGGGUAAAACCCCCAAAAGCUCCCAAAGCCCAAGAAUAUGCAAGAACAAAAGAAAAAGAAAAAAUUGAUGAAUCGAGAGAAAGAAAGAAAAAUAAAAAGAGAAAAAUGAUAACUCGAAGAUUCAAAAGAAAGAAGCACGAAAAAGGGCAUUCGGUGAAGAAGAAAUAAGAAAAGAAAACCGAGGAAAUAAAAGAAACAAACACAGGAUGUAACAUCGACUCUG
rnacentral:lncRNA from 1 species